UACAGAGGGUGCGAGCGUUAAUCGGAGUUACUGGGCGUAAAGGGCGCGUAGGCGGUGAGAUGAGUGUGAUGUGAAAGCCCUGGGCUUAACCUAGGAAGUGCAUCGCAAACUAUCUGACUGGAGUAUAUGAGAGGGUGGCGGAAUUUCCGGUGUAGCGGUGAAAUGCGUAGAGAUCGGAAGGAACGUCGAUGGCGAAGGCAGCCACCUGGCAUAAUACUGACGCUGAGGCGCGAAAGCGUGGGGAGCGAACAGG
rnacentral:rRNA from 1 species